rfam:Gorilla gorilla gorilla genomic chromosome, chr8, whole genome shotgun sequence
GCCGGGCAUGGUGGCGCAUGCCUGUAAUUCCAGCUACUUGGGAGGCUGAGGCAAGAGAAUUGCUUGAACCUAGGAGACAGAGGUUGCAGUGAGCUGAGAUCAUGCCACUGCACCCUAGCCUGGGUUACAGAGUGAGACUCGGUCUCAA